rnacentral:rRNA from 1 species
CCUACGGGAGGCAGCAGUGGGGAAUUUUGGACAAUGGGCGAAAGCCUGAUCCAGCCAUGCCGCGUGCAGGAUGAAGGCCUUCGGGUUGUAAACUGCUUUUGUACGGAACGAAAAGGUCUUUUCUAAUAAAGAAGGCUCAUGACGGUACCGUAAGAAUAAGCACCGGCUAACUACGUGCCAGCAGCCGCGGUAAUACGUAGGGUGCGAGCGUUAAUCGGAAUUACUGGGCGUAAAGCGUGCGCAGGCGGUUAUAUAAGACAGUUGUGAAAUCCCCGGGCUCAACCUGGGAACUGCAUCUGUGACUGUAUAGCUAGAGUACGGUAGAGGGGGAUGGAAUUCCGCGUGUAGCAGUGAAAUGCGUAGAUAUGCGGAGGAACACCGAUGGCGAAGGCAAUCCCCUGGACCUGUACUGACGCUCAUGCACGAAAGCGUGGGGAGCAAACAGGAUUAGAUACCCUGGUAGUCCACGCCCUAAACGAUGUCAACUGGUUNUUGGGUCUUCACUGACUCAGUAACGAAGCUAACGCGUGAAGUUGACCGCCUGGGGAUACGGCCGCAAGGUUGAAACUUAAGGAAUUGACGGCUGNGAGNGCGAGNGACGACGAGGAGGAGG